UUUUUUCUCUUUUGCUCUUGCAGAACACAUGACAUGGCUCGUUAUCGCGCUUCGAGCGUCGCUGCGCCUCAGUGGCUGCGUUGAGACUCUCAUGCGUCUCUUCCUGCUGCUCUUAGUCACCGCACUCCCAGCAGACACCUCCCAGUGCUUUUGCUAAGAAGAGAGAGAGAAGAAACCAGCCGUGCACAUCUCAGUGAUUAUGUCUCAGUCAAAUGGCAAAUGGGAGAUCUGGACUGAUGUUUCAUCGGUAAGGCAACGAAACCCCGGCGCGAUGGAGCCGAAGAAGACGGAAGGCGGGACAAGGCGGUUUGCCAGACCAGGAGCAGCUUUUUCCUCUCUGCAUCGGGUCAGUCAUCCUGUCAGUCAUCCUGUCGGUCCAGGCUGACACCGUGGGACCUCGUGCGCUCGGGCCUGUCCCGCUGCCACGCGACGUCCGAUCGAGUCACAGGUGGACUCAAAGAAAAAUCAAAGCCAACGGGAAGCGCCGCUGAAAAGGCUCUGAAUAGGCCUUCAAUGCAAAAAAAUGUGGUUGGUUGGUUGAUUUAAAAUUAAAUCACAGCUAUAUAAAAACGGCACAAUAAAGUGUGCUAAAGUUGAA